UACGUAGGGUGCGAGCGUUAAUCGGAAUUACUGGGCGUAAAGGGUGCGCAGGCGGUUCUGCAAGUCAGGCGUGAAAGCCCCGGGCUUAACCUGGGAAUUGCGGUUGAAACUACAGGACUGGAGUAUGGCAGAGGGAGGUGGAAUUCCACGUGUAGCGGUGAAAUGCGUAGAGAUGUGGAGGAACACCGAUGGCGAAGGCAGCGUCCUGGGCCAGCACUGACGCUCAUGCACGAAAGCGUGGGGAGCAAACAGG
rnacentral:rRNA from 1 species